UCUCUGGUGGCUCAGAGGGUAAAGCGUCUGCCUGCAAAGCAGGAGACCCAGGUUCGAUCUCUGGGCUGGGAA
rnacentral:tRNA from 1 species